CCGGAAUUUGUAAAAAUCGUUUGAUUAAAAACGCGAGGAAAAAUAGAUCAAAUUAGAAAAAAUCAGGGACUGUGAACUCAAUAUAGCUUUGGCCAGCACCGAUGAUUUUCUGGAUGCUUAAGCCUGGUUUCCAUAUGGUCGUAACGGUCGUAAAGAUUGAGCCACGAUCUUUCUCAUUUUAGAACUGAAAAUACGCGGAGUGAUUAUAACUAGAGAAUACUUAUGAUUUAUAUACGUGUAUAAAGUAUUAUAAACUGGCCGUUGAGAAAGAAGAAGAGGUUAUUUCCCUGGCCUCACAGUGACAAAACGUAACAAAGCAACGGUUUUACUAAAACUAGCCCUAUUCCAAACACCAACUGUAACCCAAACCCUAACCCUACUCCAAGUUAGUUUCUUGAAGAAAAACCAAUCUUUGACGAAAUGUCAUUCUGAGGUCAGCGAAAUAACUUCUUAGUUUACUAGUAUAAAUAUUCAUAAGUCAAUUGUAUUUAUUUUGUAGACAAAGUAAAUAAAAGGAAUUCUGGUUUUGACUGCAUGGGACUACUUGCA
rnacentral:lncRNA from 1 species